UACGUAGGCAGCGAGCGUUGUUCGGAGUUACUGGGCGUAAAGCGUGCGUAGGCGGUUUUGUAAGUUUGGUGUGAAAUCUCCCGGCUCAACUGGGAGGGUGCGCCGAAAACUGCAAGGCUGGAGUGUGGGAGAGGUAGGCGGAAUUCCUGGUGUAGCGGUGAAAUGCGUAGAUAUCAGGAGGAACACCUGUGGUGUAAACGGCUUACUGGACCAUGACUGACGCUGAGGCACGAAAGCGUGGGGAGCAAACAGG
rnacentral:rRNA from 1 species